UACGAGGAACUUUCAGUCUGCUGAGCUCUCUGCACACCUGAUCCAACAUCCCUAGAAAGUCUCUAACAAUAACAAAAAUACGAAGUGGGUUUGCUUCUUCUUUGCUCACAUCUCCAUGAAAGUACUCUGUAAUUUCUCUAACAUGUAAUAGUACUCUGUGUUCAUCUUCUUGCAACUCCUUCAGAUUCCUUUCUGCAUAAUUUAUGAAUGUUUUCAUUGAAUGAACAAAGCUUCCACUCUUUUCAUCUUCGGACAAGUCCUUGAUUAUUAAAUGUUGCAGUUUAGACAUUCCUUCAGAAAGGUUAGAGACUGAGCUUGCAAGAACAUCCAAAUCAAUUGUAGCUGUUUUCUUGACAUUAUAGAGUUCUGUACUUAGACCUGAAACAAGCUCUAAACCCAUUCUUCUGUAAUCUUCUUCUCUUUGUUCAUUUGUCUUGCUUCUGUUCUUCUGACUGAUUCUUCCCAUAAUACUGUCUGAAACUCGAACCCCUUCUGUUCGAAUUAUUUCUUGGACUACAAAAUGGAGUAAGCUAGUUUUGCCAUCUGUUCCUUUCACAUCAGCAAGUUUAAGAAGAGCAUCAAGCUUGAAUGCCUUAGCACCACCUCUAAUUGUUCCAACGUUCAUACGGUUUCCUGUUUUGAGUACUGCUUCAAGUAACUUCAAGAAAAGUCUACUUGAUCUGAGUUCUUUGCAGGCAUCCUAAUGAAAAGCAGAAUAAGGGACGGACAUAAGUAGAGUUGAAUUAUACUAGGAUACACUAUAGAGUUAUUCAAAUAACCUACAUGCACAGUCUCUAUGCACAUAAGCUGUUUGAGGAUAUUCCUAACAGUAAGUAUAAAUAUAAGCAUACAACUGAUUUGGUGUGCGAUUUGAUCAGUUACCUCCAGCAUUGAGAAGGAAUUUCUCAGAUGAACCACCUCAUCUUCAAAAGUUUCUCUAUAAAGCAUUGCUUCAACUCUUAGAAAGGCAAAUGGUAUGGUAAGUGCUAAUUUAACAAACUUUUCUGCAGGUCCCAAUUCAUUGAUGUCUCCUGUAUAGUCUGCAAGCUUAGCCUCUUCUUCCUUGGUGGGUACCAUCUUUGUCAGCGCCUCUAGUUGUUGUAAACUCAAGCCAUCCCCUGCUUUCCACAGUUCAAAUAAUAUUAGUUUCCGUUUUGCUUCUGCUCCAAAUUCAUUGUCAUAUUUUAUAAAACUCUGUGAAGAUUUCUAAGCUAUUACCUCUUAUUAAUGCUUCACAUACUUGCUCAGGAGUUGCAUUCAAGGCUUUUGAGAGUAUGGUUAAGUUCUGCAGUCUCUUUGGCUCUAGGACAUGUUUGUUUGGGCAUGGGGUUUUACUCUUUUCUUCAUCAUUCUUCAUUGUAACUUGUAAAUUAUAUCCAAAAAGUGAUUCAAUCAUCUCCUCGUCCAACCUGUUUUGCAAAUCACUGAUUGGUGAACUCCAAUCAGAAGUGUAAAUAUAUUGAUGAAAAUGAGGCAGGACUUACUCGAAUGAGCUUGACCUUAUCUUGUCCCACACCAUACUACGAUCAGGUGCAGCUCUAACUUUGUCCCAAUGAAGAGGCUUUAAUUUUGGCAGUGGAACUCUAGCUUUGCCCUGUGAAUAUUGAGGAAGCUGAGACGGUGGAGGAGGUGGGCCUUUGGUGGAGCUACUAUUUCCUUUCGUAGAUGGAGGUGAGCAAGGUUGAGGAGGUGGACCUUUGGUAGAGCUACUAUUUCCUUGUAGAACUGGAGGAGGACAAGGUGGAGGAGGUGGACCUUUGGCAGAGCUGCUAUUUCCUUGUGGACAUGGUGAAGAGGAGGAAGGGAUACUCGAAAAAGCUUGUAAAGUCUUGGGAGAUGUCUGGGCUGAUGAAACCAACUCAUUUUGAACUGUCUGGUUUGAUCCUGAAGAAGAAUCUGAUUUCCUAGGAGAUGACAAAUUUGGCAGUGGAGAAGAAGAUGAAAUAUGGAAGGGCAUAGUUGGAGCUAGAGCAGAUGGAGCUUGAGAAGGAGGAGGAGGUGGUGGGGCAAAAUUCACAUCAGAAUCUGAUGGAGAUGAAACUGUCAGAUUAUCUGCUUUUCUUAUUCCUGGAGAUUGAGGAAAUUUUGGUUGUAAAUUCAAAGCAGGGGUUGAGAUACAUUCUGAAGUGGCUUGCGGAAUGUCUAAUUUUGUGGAAGAAGUAGCUAUUAGAGAAGAUGAUGAAAUCUUGGUCACUUUUGAAGGGGAAAUUUCUGAUAUCUCAGUAAGACUACCAGCUGAAGCACUGGAAAACCUGAAAUAAGAUGAACGUGAAUCGACAAAAGAAUGAAAAGAUUCAUCAUCAGAGGAAUGGCCUUCAAUGGGAAUAACUUUUUCUGCAGGGGAAGAGUUUCCACCAUCAGAUUCAAACUUGAUAGAUUCUACAUCCUCAUGAACAGACAUGAUUUCCCUUGUGGAAGAACUAUUAGCAUUAUCAAUUUCUGAUUUUAUCAUCAGUUCUUGGUUUGAUUCCUUUCUUUCAUGAAAUGUAUCUACAGUAGUUUGUUUAAGACAAGUAUCAUCUAGCUCUAAAUCCCUUUCUGAUGAUUUAAGGUACAAAAGAUCAAGAACAGGAUUUAAGCUCUCCUUGCUUGCUGGCUUUUGGGUAAAUGUAUACUUCGAUUUACCUCUGGUUCUUCCUACCUUUUUUUUAUACACCGACAUUAUUCUUGCAGAUAUUCUUUUCUUCUUUCUGAAUUUUCCAGAGACCCAGAUAAGCCCAAGAACACUGACAAAAAAGGCAGCUCCUGCUGACACAAGCACUCCUGCUAAAAUUCUUCUAAAUCUGCUUUUUUCUCUGUGCGUUUUUAGAAUUUUGGGCGCAGGAAGGAUUGAAUUUGAGUGAUGAAAAGGGGAAUGAGAAUGUGCUUGGAUAGGCAACACUGAAGCAGUAGCAGGGGCAGGAGCUGGAGCCUCAGCUUCUAUGGAGGUUGAAGGAGAUGAUGCUGGUGACUGAAACUCACUUGGUGGGUUUCCUGUUUUGGAGCCUGUCAACCCUAGUAAGGCUCUGAAUUUUUGCACUAUCAAGCUCGCAUAUUCUUCAUUCUCGUCCUCUCCUGAAACUUUCUCAAUCUGCUUCUCAUUACCAUCUUCACCACUUUCCUCCAUGAAUUCAAGCUCUUGUGGGCUCUGAAGUUUAAAGCACUCUGCUGCAUCAAAUGCGGACGCAUCAGCAAUCAAAAUGUGGGUUCUUUGCAAUGACAAAAAGAUGAAAAUGGAUACAGUAAGGACGAGCAUCAUGUGGCGAAUCUGAGAAGAAUAAGAGCCCAUGUUCUUCAACCACAAAUCAUCAGAGCAUCAAUAUCUAACUUUCCGCAUAGAAAUAGAGUCUCAUUUCUGCUGCAUUCUUUUUCAGAAAAGAAAAUAAUAAUAAGACAACAUUUAUUAUUGGACGGUGCAGGUACUGUGCAAGGAACAACAUGUAUUUCAAUGUUUAAUGUACUCCAAGGAAUCACUGAGCAUGGCAGUUGGAGUUGUACUGGGCCUUCUUUAAUCUUUU
rnacentral:lncRNA from 1 species